GAGGGUGAUCGGCCACACUGGGACUGAGACACGGCCCAGACUCCUACGGGAGGCAGCAGUAGGGAAUCUUCCGCAAUGGACGUAAGUCUGACGGAGCAACGCCGCGUGAGUGAAGAAGGUUUUCGGAUCGUAAAGCUCUGUUGCCAAGGAAGAACGCCUUGGGGAGAAACUGCCCUGUGGGUGACGGUACUUGAGAAGAAAACCCCGGCUAACUACGUGCCAGCAGCCGCGGUAAUACGUAGGGGGCAAGCGUUGUCCGGAAUUAUUGGGCGUAAAGCGCGCGCAGGCGGCGGCUUAAGUUUGGUGUAUAAGCCCGGGGCUCAACCCCGGAUCGCACCGAAAACUGGGCGACUUGAGUGCAGGAGAGGAAAUCGGUAUUCCACGUGUAGCGGUGAAAUGCGUAGAGAUGUGGAGGAACACCAGUGGCGAAGUCGGCUUUCUGGACUGUAACUGACGCUGAGGAGCGAAAGCGUGGGGAGCACACAGGAUUAGA
rnacentral:rRNA from 1 species